GAUGAACGCUGACAGAAUGCUUAACACAUGCAAGUCAACUUGAACUUCGGUUUGGGUGGCGGACGGGUGAGUGACGCGUAAAGAACUUGCCUCACAGUUAGGGACAACAUUCGGAAACGAAUGCUAAUACCAGAUAUUAUGAUUUUAGGGCAUCCUAGAAUUAUGAAAGUUAUAUGCGCUGUGAGAGAGCUUUGCGUCCCAUUAGCUAGUUGGAGAGGUAACGGCUCACCAAGGCGACGAUGGUAAGCCGGCCUGAGAGGGUGAACGGCCACAAGGGGACUGAGACACGGCCCUUACUCCUACGGGAGGCAGCAGUGGGGAAUAUUGGACAAUGGACCAAGAGUCUGAUCCAGCAAUUCUGUGUGCACGAUGAAGUUUUUCGGAAUGUAAAGUGCUUUCAGUUGGGAAGAAAAAAAUGACGAUACCAACAGAAGAAGUGACGGCUAAAUACGUG
rnacentral:rRNA from 1 species